CGUUUGCCGGGACUGAGUAUCCCGGGAGCAGCUCCUGGAAGUGCAGUCGUCGUAUUUCCGGGCGGCCCGCGGCUCACAGGGAUGGGACGUCCCGGGGCUGUGCUGACCCCAAAACCCUUCCACCCUUUAUUAGCUUGUCGCCCUUCUUUCAUGUUUACAGCAAAUAUUUUCCAAGUGCCUAAUGUGUUCCACUUACUGUGCCACGUGCGAGGGUGCACGUGUCAGGCAAGCUCGCUGUUCCAAGGAGGCUGAGAACAGUGCAUUGCAGCCCACAAAACUUGGAAACCCAGCUAGAUGGUCUGUUUUUCUAGUUCCUACGUUCGAUUUAAGUCCUACCCAUCAAGACUACUGUCUUCAGAGGGCAUCUUCAUGUGUGGGCACCAGGGCUGCGGCUGGAACCACAGUGGACACCCCACGCUCCAAGGACAAUCCUCUGCAGAAACCAGCAGCUAGAAACAAUUCUUAAUGCUGCAAGAAGUGGUUAGAAGAAACGACUGUGUGAGUCAGAGCUAAAACUGGAGUUCAAAAACCACAGAAAAUAUUUCCAAGGCUGUCUGUGAAGUGGGGUUGUCAAAAUACCAAAAAUUACAGCUUUGGAACUGCA